rnacentral:rRNA from 1 species
UACGUAGGGUGCGAGCGUUGUCCGGAAUUAUUGGGCGUAAAGAGCUUGUAGGCGGUCUGUCGCGUCUGCUGUGAAAAUCCGGGGCUCAACCCCGGACUUGCAGUGGGUACGGGCAGACUAGAGUGUGGUAGGGGAGACUGGAAUUCCUGGUGUAGCGGUGAAAUGCGCAGAUAUCAGGAGGAACACCGGUGGCGAAGGCGACACGCUGGGCCAUACCUGACGCUAAAGCGCGACAGCAUGGGGAGCAAACGGG